UGACAUGCCUUUUCUGUAGGGAAGUAUGGU
rnacentral:piRNA from 1 species